rnacentral:rRNA from 1 species
CUGGUGGCGAGUGGCGAACGGGUGAGUAAUACAUCGGAACGUGCCCUGUCGUGGGGGAUAACUAGUCGAAAGAUUAGCUAAUACCGCAUACGACCUGAGGGUGAAAGCGGGGGACCGCAAGGCCUCGCGCGAUAGGAGCGGCCGAUGUCUGAUUAGCUAGUUGGUGGGGUAAAGGCCCACCAAGGCGACGAUCAGUAGCUGGUCUGAGAGGACGAUCAGCCACACUGGGACUGAGACACGGCCCAGACUCCUACGGGAGGCAGCAGUGGGGAAUUUUGGACAAUGGGGGCAACCCUGAUCCAGCAAUGCCGCGUGUGUGAAGAAGGCCUUCGGGUUGUAAAGCACUUUUGUCCGGAAAGAAAUCCCCUGCUCUAAUACAGCGGGGGGAUGACGGUACCGGAAGAAUAAGCACCGGCUAACUACGUGCCAGCAGCCGCGGUAAUACGUAGGGUGCGAGCGUUAAUCGGAAUUACUGGGCGUAAAGCGUGCGCAGGCGGUUUUGUAAGACAGGCGUGAAAUCCCCGAGCUCAACUUGGGAAUGGCGCUUGUGACUGCAAGGCUAGAGUAUGUCAGAGGGGGGUAGAAUUCCACGUGUAGCAGUGAAAUGCGUAGAGAUGUGGAGGAAUACCGAUGGCGAAGGCAGCCCCCUGGGACGUCACUGACGCUCAUGCACGAAAGCGUGGGGAGCAAACAGGAUUAG